rnacentral:rRNA from 1 species
GACGAACGCUGACGGCGUGCUUAACACAUGCAAGUCGAACGCUGAAGCCCAGCUUGCUGGGUGGAUGAGUGGCGAACGGGUGAGUAACACGUGAGUAACCUGCCCCCUUCUUUGGGAUAACGCCCGGAAACGGGUGCUAAUACUGGAUAUUCACUUGCCUUCGCAUGGGGGUUGGUGGAAAGGUUUUUCUGGUGGGGGAUGGGCUCGCGGCCUAUCAGCUUGUUGGUGGGGUGAUGGCCUACCAAGGCUUUGACGGGUAGCCGGCCUGAGAGGGUGACCGGUCACAUUGGGACUGAGAUACGGCCCAGACUCCUACGGGAGGCAGCAGUGGGGAAUAUUGCACAAUGGGCGCAAGCCUGAUGCAGCGACGCCGCGUGAGGGAUGAAGGCCUUCGGGUUGUAAACCUCUUUCGUCAGGGAACAAGGCACUGUCUUUUUGGUGGUGUUGAGGGUACCUGGAUAAGAAGCGCCGGCUAACUACGUGCCAGCAGCCGCGGUAAUACGUAGGGCGCAAGCGUUGUCCGGAAUUAUUGGGCGUAAAGAGCUCGUAGGCGGCUGGUCGCGUCUGUCGUGAAAACUUCCGGCUCAACCGGGGGCUUGCGGUGGGUACGGGCCGGCUAGAGUGCGGUAGGGGUAACUGGAACUCCUGGUGUAGCGGUGGGAUGCGCAGAUAUCAGGAAGAACACCGAUGGCGAAGGCAGGUUACUGGGCCGUUACUGACGCUGAGGAGCGAAAGCGUGGGGAGCGAACAGG